GGCCCUGGGCUGAAGGUGGUGCUAAACCACUGAGCCACCUGGGCUGCCCACUUUAGCUUUUUCCUGGCUUUUCUUUAGUAUUUGUUUUAGUGUAUCUUAAUAAUAAAAUGACUCUUCUACUAUUGCUUGAUUUAAGUUUUAGGUAUUUUUAAAAGAUUUUAUUUAUUUGAUAGAGAGUACAAGCAGGAGGAGUGGUGGGGAGAGGGAGAAGCAGGCUCCUUGAUGAGCAGAGAGACAGAUUCAGGGCUUGAUCCCAAGACCCUGAGAUCAUGACCUGAACUGAAGGCAGACGCUUAACCACUGAGCCACCGAGGUUCCCCAGUUUUAGGAAUUAUCAUCUUCUUGAUAAUGUUUACCUGAGGAUUUAGUUUUUUAACACACCAACUUCUCUUCUCCAUUAUUAUAGUUAUAUUUAGUAAAUACAGUAGCUAUUGUUUAGUUAUGACUGUAGAGCAAAGUAAUGCACCAUGAUUACAUUUUGCAUCAUUUUAUUUUUCCUAGAAUUAAUAAUUGCCUCAUUUUUCACACAUAACUUUCUGGAAACUUAAACUUUCUCCAGUUUUUCUGUCCAGUCCAUCAUGUUCUCAUCAAUAGUCUUGAAGGGUUUUUGUCCCUAAAUAUCAGAUAAUCUGAUUCCCUGUUUUUAUUAGGGAGGUCUAUUCUCUAUCUGUCCUUCCAUGCCAAUCUAUUCUGGUUGUUUUCUUGGCCAGUUACGCAGCCAUUAUCCAUGACCUCCUCCUGUAACCUUUCUAUGUUGGAUCUGUUUUCUGGUUUAUUCUCUAGUUUACUGGAGCAGUCCCUAAAGUACCUAAAGCUUUCCAAGAGGUGGUAUAUGAGAGGCAAAUCUUCUGAGUCCUUACAUGUCUAAAAGGCCUUUAUUCCAUUCUCACAUUUCAUUAAUAGUUUGACUACAUAUACAAUUUUAAGUUUAAAAUAAUUUUCCCUCUGGGUUUUGAAGCAAUUGCUCCACCCUCUUCUAGGUUUCAUUGUUGCUUUUGAGAAAUCUGAUUCUUAAUCAGAUAUUGGACUUAAUUUUUAGUUGUUUAGACACUAUUGUCUUUGUGCUUUUUAGAAGAUUUCUUCAUUUCGAUCUUCCAACAUUAUCUUCUGUAGGAUUUUUUGUAUAUUUAAAAAGUAUUUUAAUUUCUAGGACUUCCUUUAUUUCUAUUCUAUUUCUGAAAUACAUUUAUCUCAGUUCACAGGUGAAAUAUUUUUCUGAGGGUAUAUAUGCUUUUCUUUCCUACUCAGCAUUGAUUUUUGUUGCUGUUAUUUUAAUUUUUAGUUGUUUUUUGUUUUGCUCAUGUAAGUGACUUUCUAUUUCUGGGUAGUCUUGACAAUCUGUCAUAUAUGAAUGGUCCCCAAAAGACUAAUUGAAAGCUCUUUGGCCAGUGCUUGACAACUGAUAGGCUUUAGUAACACAGUGCUACUCAGAAAUGCCACUUGGCAAAUUAUUUGUUCAUGAUGAAAAAGCUUAGACAAGUAAGAGUUGGUCGGUCAGCAAUUGUAGGUGGACCAAGUUUUGAGAGGUGCUGCAUUAGAGAAUGAUUGUCAGGGAGCCAGUCAUUUGGCUGGAGGCCUUUUCUUUGGGGCUGUUCAGUUUCUCUAGGGAAUUCUUUGGUCUUUGCAGUAUGAAGGAGUCCAAGGAGGGUCUAGUUUUUUCCUGCCUUUUAACUCUGCUUCUGCCUUGUCCUCCACCUCACCUUCUAUUUUCCACUUUAUACAUAUUCCCAUAUACCUGUUCCUCUGCAUAUCCCUUCUACCUGGUUGUCUUCCAUUACUUUCUCCAGAUAAAAAUUAUCUCCUACCUGUGGGAGACAAUGAGGGAGGUGUGAGAGAUUGUUUUUGGAUGAGAAGGGUAGGGCAGAAGUCGUAGGAUCUGAUGAUCAUUCUGUUGUAUAUAAUUUCCAAUUAGUCAUUUUCAGGCUUAUUGUAACUAUAACAUCCAAGUCUGAACUUCUCAGGGGCUAUGGACCAAUUAGCAUGCUUCUCACUGGUGUCCCCCUUUUAGCGUCUUUGGGUUGCAGCUUCCUCAGUCUUGCUCAGACAGGACAUGUCCCAUUUGCUGUUCUCUAGAAAUCUGCUGAAAGCACUUUUGGGUUUUUUUUUCCACUCAACUCUAUCCUUUUGGGCUCCUGUCUUUAAAAAAUUGUUUCUGAUGAUCAUGCAGUAAGUUUUACUUUUUUUCUUGUAGUGUAUAUUUCUGUGCAUUUAACUUAUGUAUAGAUUCAUGGAAUCAUCAUAGGAUGCAGAACAGUACCACCAGCCCCCAAAACUCCCUUGUCCCAUUCCUUUGUACUCAUUUCCCCUACCCAAACUCCCUGUCAACUGCUGAUUUCUUUUCCAAACCCAUAGUUCAUCUUCUAGAAUGUCAUAAAUGGAAUUAUACCAUAUGUAACCUUUUGAAACUGACUUCUUUCAUUGAACAUGCCUUUGAGAUUCAUCUAAGGUAAUGAUGCCUAUCAGUACCUCCUACUUUUUCAAUUCCUUUUUCAUUUUACUGAGGUGAGAGGGAGAAUAGAUAAACUUGGGGCCAAUUCACUUUUUUAAACCAAAAAAAAUGCCUUAAAGUAACUUUUUGUGCUUUUUAAAAAAAA
rnacentral:lncRNA from 1 species